AGGCAGGCGAGGUAAUGGAAAAGAAGAAAUUUGGAUGUAGAACCAGACUCAAUUUCCCAGUCUUGCUCCUGGGUAUGUGGUCUGUUGACUAUCUUCCUCCCAAAUCCUCCACUCUUGUUUUCUUGUUAUCUGCGAAGCUGGAAGUCAGAGGACUCUGAUGCCCUAGGUGAUGGCGGAGAUACAAGAUUGAAGGAGCCUGGGUCCCGAGUCAUUGCUUGGAAAGAGCCAUACAGCAGGGCCA
rnacentral:lncRNA from 1 species